GACAACUGAAGCAUAGUGUGAUUUUUAGUGCUUCCCUCUGUCAGACCGAGUUUCAAGUUGAUCAGGUUCCCCUUAGCCAGAAAGCUUAAGGCUCUCUGACUCAUUUCUGAAAUGUUCAUCUCCUUUGCCUUCCUCCACCCAUGAGAAAAAUUGUCCAACAGAUUUCAGCUCACACUUAUUAACCACCCACAUCCACACACUCCCCCGAUGUGUCCACAUUAACAGCGUCUUCUUGAUCAGCAUCACAAAUGUCCUGACAAUUCCUCUAUGUCCUCCUAGAGCUCCCUGCGGACCAGCUUGAGGAGCUACCUAUUUCAACAUUGGAGGGAGAGGCUCUGCCCAACUCCAUAGCACGUGAACAAGCCAGUGAACAUGCUCCCCAGGAGCACCUGGUGUUGGAACUGCCCCAGCCCGGGGCUGAGGAUCCACCUCUGCCACCCCUGGAGGCAGCCGGAGCAGCCAAUGAACAUGGUAAAUAUUCAGCGACCGUCCCUCUGCUGAGGAACAAUUUAGCUGAUGAUUGUGGGGCUCUCUUGCCAGCUAGCUUUGCAGAGUCACCCUGAUGCUGGA